GAUGAACGCUGGCGGCGUGCCUAAUACAUGCAAGUCGAGCGAACGGACGAGAAGCUUGCUUCUCUGAUGUUAGCGGCGGACGGGUGAGUAACACGUGGAUAACCUACCUAUAAGACUGGGAUAACUUCGGGAAACCGGAGCUAAUACCGGAUGAUAUUUUGAACCGCAUGGUUCAAAAGUGAAAGACGGUCUUGCUGUCACUUAUAGAUGGAUCCGCGCUGCAUUAGCUAGUUGGUAAGGUAACGGCUUACCAAGGCAACGAUGCAUAGCCGACCUGAGAGGGUGACCGGCCACACUGGAACUGAGACAGGGCCAAGACUCCUACGGGAGGCAGCAGAGGGGAAUCUUCGGAAAGGGGGGAAAGCCGGACGGAGCAACGCCGGGGGAGUAAUGAAGGUUUUGGGAUCGUAAAACUUUUUUAUGGGGAAAAAAAAUAUGUGUAAGUAACUGUGCACAUCUUGACGGUACCUAAUAAAAAAGCCACGGCUAACUCCGUG
rnacentral:rRNA from 1 species